rnacentral:rRNA from 1 species
UACGUAGGGGCUAGCGUUGUCCGGAAUCAUUGGGCGUAAGCGCGUGUAGGCGGCCGGUAAGUCCGCUGUGAAGUCGGGGCUCAACCCUCGGAAUGCCGGUGGAUACUGUCGGGCUAGAGUGCGGAAGAGGCGAGUGGAAUUCCUGGUGUAGCGGUGAAAUGACGUAGAUAUCGAGAGGAACACCUGCGGCGAAGGCGGUGCUGGCUGACACUGACGCUGGAUGACGCGAAGCUAGGGGAGCAAACGGG